GAAUAUUGCCCAAUGGACGCAAGUCUGAGGCAGCAACGCCGCGUGGGCGAUGAAGGCCUUCGGGUUGUAAAGCCCUUUUCUGGGGGAAGAGGAAGGACGGUACCUCAGGAAUAAGUCACGGCUAACUCCGUGCCAGCAGCCGCGGUAAUACGGAGGGGGCUAGCGUUGUUCGGAAUUACUGGGCGUAAAGGGCGCGUAGGCGGUUCGGUAAGUUAGGCGUGAAAGGCCUGGGCUCAACCCGGGAACUGCGCUUAAGACUGUCGGGCUGUGAGUCCGGGAGAGGAUGGCGGAAUUCCCAGUGUAGAGGUGAAAUUCGUAGAUAUUGGGAAGAACACCAGUGGCGAAGGCGGCCAUCUGGCCCGGUACUGACGCUGAGGCGCGAAAGCGUGGGGAGCAAACAG
rnacentral:rRNA from 1 species